rnacentral:rRNA from 1 species
UUAAGUUAGAAAGGGCGCACGGUGGAUGCCUUGGCACUAGGAGCCGAUGAAGGACGGGACGAACACCGAUAUGCUUCGGGGAGCUGUAAGCAAGCUUUGAUCCGGAGAUUUCCGAAUGGGGAAACCCACCACUCGUAAUGGAGUGGUAUCCAUAUCUGAAUACAUAGGAUAUGAGAAGGCAGACCCGGGGAACUGAAACAUCUAAGUACCCGGAGGAAGAGAAAGCAAAUGCGAUUCCCUGAGUAGCGGCGAGCGAAACGGGACCAGCCCAAACCAAGAGGCUUGCCUCUUGGGGUUGUAGGACACUCUGUACGGAGUUACAAAGGAACGAGGUAGAUGAAGAGGUCUGGAAAGGCCCGCCAUAGAAGGUAACAGCCCUGUAGUCAAAACUUCGUUCUCUCCUGAGUGGAUCCUGAGUACGGCGGAACACGUGAAAUUCCGUCGGAAUCCGGGAGGACCAUCUCCCAAGGCUAAAUACUCCCUAGUGACCGAUAGUGAACCAGUACCGUGAGGGAAAGGUGAAAAGCACCCCGGAAGGGGAGUGAAAGAGAUCCUGAAACCGUGUGCCUACAAGUAGUCAGAGCCCGUUAACGGGUGAUGGCGUGCCUUUUGUAGAAUGAACCGGCGAGUUACGAUCCCGUGCAAGGUUAAGCAGAAGAUGCGGAGCCGCAGCGAAAGCGAGUCUGAAUAGGGCGAAUUGAGUACGUGGUCGUAGACCCGAAACCAGGUGAUCUACCCAUGUCCAGGGUGAAGUUCAGGUAACACUGAAUGGAGGCCCGAACCCACGCACGUUGAAAAGUGCGGGGAUGAGGUGUGGGUAGGGGUGAAAUGCCAAUCGAACCUGGAGAUAGCUGGUUCUCUCCGAAAUAGCUUUAGGGCUAGCCUCAAGGUAAGAGUCUCGGAGGUAGAGCACUGAUUGGACUAGGGGCCCCUACCGGGUUACCGAAUUCAGUCAAACUCCGAAUGCCGAUGACUUAUCCUUGGGAGUCAGACUGCGAGUGAUAAGAUCCGUAGUCGAAAGGGAAACAGCCCAGACCGCCAGCUAAGGUCCCAAAGUAUACGUUAAGUGGAAAAGGAUGUGGAGUUGCUUAGACAACCAGGAUGUUGGCUUAGAAGCAGCCACCAUUUAAAGAGUGCGUAAUAGCUCACUGGUCGAGUGACUCUGCGCCGAAAAUGUACCGGGGCUAAACGUAUCACCGAAGCUGCGGACUGUUCUUCGAACAGUGGUAGGAGAGCGUUCUAAGGGCUGUGAAGCAAGACCGGAAGGACUUGUGGAGCGCUUAGAAGUGAGAAUGCCGGUAUGAGUAGCGAAAGAGGGGUGAGAAUCCCCUCCACCGAAUGCCUAAGGUUUCCUGAGGAAGGCUCGUCCGCUCAGGGUUAGUCGGGACCUAAGCCGAGGCCGAAAGGCGUAGGCGAUGGACAACAGGUUGAUAUUCCUGUACCACCUCCUCACCAUUUGAGCAAUGGGGGGACGCAGGAGGAUAGGGUAAGCGCGGUAUUGGAUAUCCGCGUCCAAGCAGUUAGGCUGGGAAAUAGGCAAAUCCGUUUCCCGUGAAGGCUGAGCUGUGAUGGCGAGCGAAUUAUAGUAGCGAAGUUCCUGAUUCCACACUGCCAAGAAAAGCCUCUAGCGAGGUGAGAGGUGCCCGUACCGCAAACCGACACAGGUAGGCGAGGAGAGAAUCCUAAGGUGAUCGAGAGAACUCUCGUUAAGGAACUCGGCAAAAUGACCCCGUAACUUCGGGAGAAGGGGUGCUCUGUUAGGGUGCAAGCCCGAGAGAGCCGCAGUGAAUAGGCCCAGGCGACUGUUUAGCAAAAACACAGGUCUCUGCGAAGCCGUAAGGCGAAGUAUAGGGGCUGACGCCUGCCCGGUGCUGGAAGGUUAAGAGGAGCGCUUAGCGUAAGCGAAGGUGCGAAUUGAAGCCCCAGUAAACGGCGGCCGUAACUAUAACGGUCCUAAGGUAGCGAAAUUCCUUGUCGGGUAAGUUCCGACCCGCACGAAAGGCGCAACGAUCUGGGCACUGUCUCAACGAGAGACUCGGUGAAAUUAUAGUACCUGUGAAGAUGCAGGUUACCCGCGACAGGACGGAAAGACCCCGUGGAGCUUUACUGCAGCCUGAUAUUGAAUGUUGGUACAGCUUGUACAGGAUAGGUAGGAGCCUUGGAAACCGGAGCGCCAGCUUCGGUGGAGGCAUCGGUGGGAUACUACCCUGGCUGUAUUGACCUUCUAACCCGCCGCCCUUAUCGGGCGGGGAGACAGUGUCAGGUGGGCAGUUUGACUGGGGCGGUCGCCUCCUAAAAGGUAACGGAGGCGCCCAAAGGUUCCCUCAGAAUGGUUGGAAAUCAUUCGCAGAGUGUAAAGGCACAAGGGAGCUUGACUGCGAGACCUACAAGUCGAGCAGGGACGAAAGUCGGGCUUAGUGAUCCGGUGGUUCCGCAUGGAAGGGCCAUCGCUCAACGGAUAAAAGCUACCCCGGGGAUAACAGGCUUAUCUCCCCCAAGAGUCCACAUCGACGGGGAGGUUUGGCACCUCGAUGUCGGCUCAUCGCAUCCUGGGGCUGUAGUCGGUCCCAAGGGUUGGGCUGUUCGCCCAUUAAAGCGGUACGCGAGCUGGGUUCAGAACGUCGUGAGACAGUUCGGUCCCUAUCCGUCGCGGGCGCAGGAAAUUUGAGAGGAGCUGUCCUUAGUACGAGAGGACCGGGAUGGACGCACCGCUGGUGUACCAGUUGUUCUGCCAAGGGCAUCGCUGGGUAGCUAUGUGCGGACGGGAUAAGUGCUGAAAGCAUCUAAGCAUGAAGCCCCCCUCAAGAUGAGAUUUCCCAUUCCGCAAGGAAGUAAGAUCCCUGAAAGAUGAUCAGGUUGAUAGGUCUGAGGUGGAAGUGUGGCGACACAUGGAGCUGACAGAUACUAAUCGAUCGAGGACUUAACCAA